AUUGAACGCUGGCGGCAUGCCUAACACAUGCAAGUCGAGCGGAUGAAUGGAGCUUGCUCCUGGAUUCAGCGGCGGACGGGUGAGUAAUGCCUAGGAAUCUGCCUGGUAGUGGGGGAUAACGUCCGUAAACGGGCGCUAAUACCGCAUACGUCCUGAGGGUGAAAGUGGGGGAUCUUCGGACCUCACGCUAUCAGAUGAGCCUAGGUCGGAUUAGCUAGUUGGUGGGGUAAAGGCCUACCAAGGCGACGAUCCGUAACUGGUCUGAGAGGAUGAUCAGUCACACUGGAACUGAGACACGGUCCAGACUCCUACGGGAGGCAGCAGUGGGGAAUAUUAGACAAUGGGCGAAAGCCUGAUCCAGCAAUGCCGCGUGUGUGAAGAAGGUCUUCGGAUUGUAAAGCACUUUAAGUUGGGAGGAAGGAAAGUAAGAUAAUAUAUUGCUGUUUUGACGUUACCAACAGAAUAAGCACCGGCUAACUUCGUG
rnacentral:rRNA from 1 species